rnacentral:rRNA from 1 species
AGAUAAAAUGAAAGCUUGCUUUUAAUUUAUCUUAGCGGCGGACGGGUGAGUAACGUGUGGGCAACCUGCCUCAUACAGAGGGAUAAUCAUGUGAAAACGUGACUAAUACCGCAUGUCGUUUCGGGAGGGCAUCCUCCUGAAAGAAAAGGAGCGAUCCGGUAUGAGAUGGGCCCGCAUCUGAUUAGCUAGUUGGUGAGAUAACAGCCCACCAAGGCGACGAUCAGUAGCCGACCUGAGAGGGUGAUCGGCCACAUUGGGACUGAGACACGGCCCAAACUCCUACGGGAGGCAGCAGUGGGGAAUAUUGCACAAUGGGGGAAACCCUGAUGCAGCAACGCCGCGUGAAGGAAGACGGUUUUCGGAUUGUAAACUUCUAUCAAUAGGGACGAAGAAAGUGACUGUACCUAAAUAAGAAGCCCCGGCUAACUACGUGCCAGCAGCCGCGGUAAUACGUAGGGGGCAAGCGUUAUCCGGAAUUACUGGGUGUAAAGGGUGAGUAGGCGGCAUGGCAAGUAAGAUGUGAAAGCCCGAGGCUUAACCUCGGGAUUGCAUUUUAAACUGCUAAGCUAGAGUACAGGAGAGGAAAGCGGAAUUCCUAGUGUAGCGGUGAAAUGCGUAGAUAUUAGGAAGAACACCAGUGGCGAAGGCGGCUUUCUGGACUGGAAACUGACGCUGAGGCACGAAAGCGUGGGGAGCGAACAGGAUUAGAUACCCUGGUAGUCCACGCCGUANACGAUGAGUGCUAGGUGUCGGAGGNGAACCUUCGGUGCCGCAGCAAACGCAAUAAGCACUCCACCUGGGGAGUACGAUCGCA